GGCGCCGCGGGUUCCCUUCCUGACGCGCAAGCGCGGUGCUGUUCCUGUUCGGGCGGCCUUGAGGACGGGGGUGAUUUCGGAGCCCCAGAGUCUGGGAACAACUGUCAUCUUCAGGGCUGCGAGUGCAGAUUGGGAAGAAAACUGAAAACUGCAAGUAAGCACUGUCUGAGAAAAUGGACAACAUCGGCCUUCGUGCAGUCAUCCGCUACCUGGGCCUCAAGGGCUUAUCAGCCAAGGAGGUCCACGAGGACAUGGUGGCAACGCUAGGGGAGGGUGCUCCUCCUUUCAGCAUGGUGAAGAAGUGGGUCCCUGAACUCAAACGGGACAGAGAGGGUGUGGAAGACGACCCGUGUCCUAAAAGGGCUGCCACCGUCACCACACAGGAGACCACUGACUCAGCCAAUGGGAGAGAGUGACCCUCCAUGGACGACCUCCCCACCAACUGAGCGGAAGUGACAAUGAAGCGUGGAGCGCCUGGCACAGAGUGGAAGGCCACGUCACAGAAACAGAGUGGUUUGUUCUGACAGUACAGAAACAAGAGGUUAACACAAAAACAAUAUCAAAAAUACCCAACAAAAGACCCAUGAAUUGAAGAAGACGUGCAGAAAAUUCCAACAGAAACAGUGACAAUCCAGCACAUUACAGGAUCCUGCAGCAGUUUAACUCAAUCUGAUUAUGCGCACAGGCACAAUCAAGUGGCAAACAGCAUUCAAUAAAAUCUUGCGUUAAAACACAAGCUUAUGAACAAUAUAUUAUUAUAAAUACAGAGCUGAUCCAGUUUUACAGUCAGAUCUAUUUUUACAGAUAGGACAAUAGAUAAUACGCACCUGGAUAUAAUAUUAGAGGUUAAACAAGCAAGAACAACUUACUUAAUGCAAACACGUUCCAAACACACACAACAUUCUGUAUUCAAUCCAUGAAAAACGCCUGAAAUAUGCAGACUUGAAAGACAAAAUUGAAAGACUGUCGAACGUGGACUGUGUAUAUAUUGACCCUACCUUAACAUCUACAACGGGUUUUGUUCCAAAGUCACUACACAGUCACAUGAAACAAUUGAACCAGGCGAUAACACUUCUGUAAGUCUCCAGAAAGCCACAAUACGAAACAGCAUUGGAACAGUCCGAAAGUCCCUGUCAACUGAGUGUGCUUGUUUAUGUCCACAAGUCAAGUUUUAUCAAAUUUAGCAAAUAAAUAAUAAUAAUAACCAUGCAAUUAUACUGGAGGAAAUGCAGGAGAUUCAACAAGUAGUUUGCUAGGAUGGAAAUUUAUCAGAAAUCAGGAAGUGAGCUGACAUGCUUUCCCUGAGGAAGAGUAGGCAUUGGAGUUUCCCGUGGAAGUCUGUAUAGCUGGGAAUAACGUGCCCGAGUUCUGUAGUGUGAAGCAUUUCUCCAAACGCGUUAAUCUAACGCGAAGGACAAGUGCAAGGUUUACUGUGAGUUUAUUUUGAGUCUGUUGACUUUUCGCUGCAUUCUUACCGGAAAGUUUCCAGUGACGAAUGAGUUACAUUUCCGCCGAUUUGGUUUUGAAUGCCCCCCCCCCCCCCAACCCCGAUCCAGCCCCGCCCUGUCAUUACCGAUAGUGGGGUGUCGGUGACAAAAGCGGGAAUAUGGUGAAAAAAUAAAAAGAAAAGGUAGGCUGAGUUUAAUAAUUGGUAGGAGGUGGAGUUCGUAGGCUCUGGGUGCCGAAGUGCCUAGUCCCGUGGUGUAUUCUCGGGAUGUCAACCUGUUUCACUGCCGCUGCGUUCUCUGAUGAACACUGGUUCUGUGGUUUCGGGAUGAAGACUGGCCGCCUCUGAGACGAACAUCGAUAUUCUGUUUACUAACUACUUGAAUAAUUGGCGUGAGCGGAUAUUUCGCUGUGCUGAUGAACCUGGACUGAGUCACCCCAUAAAUAAACGUGUUUGUGCAGCAGAAAGUCUGAGUAUUCAAAUAUGUAUUCUGAAGCGUUGUAUUCAUUUUGAUCCAGUCGAGCAAUGGUGUUGUAAAGGAAUUCGGAAACAUCUGCCGACCACAGGAUGAUGAAGCUUCCGGGGACGAUGAGAAGUUUGCAGACCUCCAUCUCCGGCUCAAUCCGGUUCCCUGCCUUUCCCUAACCCCUCAGUCCCUUACGGGUGCGACUAGUCACUAAAAUGUGUCUGACUUGAAAAGUAGUAUGAACAGGAUCGGGAGUAAUGGCGUUAGAACAGGAGCCAAACAUCUAAACCCCACCCACCCGGUAUCGGUACAGUAGUUCGGCUUUUGAAUACAGUCCCAGGAGUAAUAUACAAAUAUAUCUACUGCCCCCCC